rnacentral:rRNA from 1 species
UAGUGGCGAACGGGUGAGUAACACGUGGGCAAUCUGCCCUUCACUCUGGGACAAGCCCUGGAAACGGGGUCUAAUACCGGAUAACACCUGCCCGGGCAUCCGGGUGGGUUAAAAGCUCCGGCGGUGAAGGAUGAGCCCGCGGCCUAUCAGCUUGUUGGUGAGGUAGUGGCUCACCAAGGCGACGACGGGUAGCCGGCCUGAGAGGGCGACCGGCCACACUGGGACUGAGACACGGCCCAGACUCCUACGGGAGGCAGCAGUGGGGAAUAUUGCACAAUGGGCGAAAGCCUGAUGCAGCGACGCCGCGUGAGGGAUGACGGCCUUCGGGUUGUAAACCUCUUUCAGCAGGGAAGAAGCGAAAGUGACGGUACCUGCAGAAGAAGCGCCGGCUAACUACGUGCCAGCAGCCGCGGUAAUACGUAGGGCGCAAGCGUUGUCCGGAAUUAUUGGGCGUAAAGAGCUCGUAGGCGGCUUGUCACGUCGGGUGUGAAAGCCCGGGGCUUAACCCCGGGUCUGCAUUCGAUACGGGCUAGCUAGAGUGUGGUAGGGGAGAUCGGA